UACGUAGGCAGCGAGCGUUGUUCGGAGUUACUGGGCGUAAAGAGUGCGUAGGCGGUGUUCCAAGUCUGUUGUGAAAUCUCCCGGCUUAACUGGGAGGGUGCGGCGGAAACUGGGACGCUGGAGUACGGGAGAGGUAAGCGGAAUUCCGGGUGUAGCGGUGGAAUGCGUAGAGAUCCGGAAGAACACCGGUGGCGAAGGCGGCCUGCUGGGCAGUUUGGCUGACACUGAGGCGCGACAGCGUGGGGAGCAAACAGG
rnacentral:rRNA from 1 species